UGGAUCCAGACUUUGAUCAUGGCUCAGGACGAACGCUGGCGGCGUGCUUAACACAUGCAAGUCGAACGAAGCUUGAUUUAUGAUUUCUUCGGAAUGAAUAAUGAUAUGACUGAGUGGCGGACGGGUGAGUAACGCGUGAGCAACCUGCCCUUCGGAGGGGGAUAGCGUCUGGAAAUGGACGGUAAUACCGCAUAAAGUGUCUUGACCGCAUGAUCGAGAUACCAAAACUGAGGUGCCGAAGGAUGGGCUCGCGUUGGAUUAGAUAGUUGGUGGGAUAACGGCCUACCAAGUCGACGAUCCAUAGCCGGACUGAGAGGUUGAACGGCCACAUUGGGACUGAGACACGGCCCAGACUCCUACGGGUGGCAGCAGUGGGGAAUAUUGCACAAUGGGGGAAACCCUGAUGCAGCAACGCCGCGUGAAGGAAGACGGUUUUCGGAUUGUAAACUUCUGUUCUUAGUGAAGAAUAAUGACGGUAGCUAAGGAGCAAGCCACGGCUAACUACGUGCCAGCAGCCGCGGUAAUACGUAGGUGGCAAGCGUUGUCCGGAAUUACUGGGUGUAAAGGGAGCGCAGGCGGGAAGCCAAGUCAGCUGUGAAAACUACAGGCUUAACUUGUAGACUGCAGUUGAAACUGGUUUUCUUGAGUGAAGUAGAGCUUGGCGGAAUUCCGAGUGUAGCGGUGAAAUGCGUAGAUAUUCGGAGGAACACCGGUGGCGAAGGCGGCCAACUGGGCUUUAACUGACGCUGAGGCUCGAAAGUGUGGGGAGCAAACAGGAUUAGAUACCCUGGUAGUCCACACUGUAAACGAUGAUUGCUAGGUGUGGGGGGUCUGACCCCUUCCGUGCCGCAGCUAACGCAAUAAGCAAUCCACCUGGGGAGUACGACCGCAAGGUUGCAACUCAAAUGAAUUGACGGA
rnacentral:rRNA from 1 species